rnacentral:rRNA from 1 species
GAGUAACACGUGGGUAACCUGCCCAUAAGACUGGGAUAACUCCGGGAAACCGGGGCUAAUACCGGAUAACAUUUUGAACCGCAUGGUUCGAAAUUGAAAGGCGGCUUCGGCUGUCACUUAUGGAUGGACCCGCGUCGCAUUAGCUAGUUGGUGAGGUAACGGCUCACCAAGGCAACGAUGCGUAGCCGACCUGAGAGGGUGAUCGGCCACACUGGGACUGAGACACGGCCCAGACUCCUACGGGAGGCAGCAGUAGGGAAUCUUCCGCAAUGGACGAAAGUCUGACGGAGCAACGCCGCGUGAGUGAUGAAGGCUUUCGGGUCGUAAAACUCUGUUGUUAGGGAAGAACAAGUGCUAGUUGAAUAAGCUGGCACCUUGACGGUACCUAACCAGAAAGCCACGGCUAACUACGUGCCAGCAGCCGCGGUAAUACGUAGGUGGCAAGCGUUAUCCGGAAUUAUUGGGCGUAAAGCGCGCGCAGGUGGUUUCUUAAGU